CUCUUGUCCAGGUGGGUGAGGGCAGUGUGGAUUCAGAUUGCAUCCUCUGUGGAUCUGUUAGGUUCCCCUCUUGUCCAGGUGGGUGAGGGCAGUGUGGAUUCAGAUUGCAUCCUCUGUGGAUCUGUUAGGUUCCCCUCUUGUCCAGGUGGGUGAGGGCAGUGUGGAUUCAGAUUGCAUCCUCUGUGGAUCUGUUAGGUUCCCCUCUUGUCCAGGUGGGUGAGGGCAGUGUGGAUUCAGAUUGCAUCCUCUGUGGAUCUGUUAGGUUCCCCUCUUGUCCAGGUGGGUGAGGGCAGUGUGGAUUCAGAUUGCAUCCUCUGUGGAUCUGUUAGGUUCCCCUCUUGUCCAGGUGGGUGAGGGCAGUGUGGAUUCAGAUUGCAUCCUCUGUGGAUCUGUUAGGUUCCCCUCUUGUCCAGGUGGGUGAGGGCAGUGUGGAUUCAGAUUGCAUCCUCUGUGGAUCUGUUAGGUUCCCCUCUUGUCCAGGUGGGUGUGGAUUCAGAUUGCAUCCUCUGUGGAUCUGUUGAGGCGGUAUCAGAAUUGAAGUGGGUCUGGGUGUCU